rnacentral:tRNA from 1 species
GAAGGUAUAGCUCAGUGGUAGAGCACAUGCUUAGCAUGCGUAAGGUCCUGGGUUCAAUCUCCAAUGCCGCCA